UUUCAUGCAUGUUGAAAUUGGACCAUUUUUAGCCUUUGUUGCUUGAUAAACCUGAGUAGUGCGGAAUCUUUGAAUGGUAUUAAAAGUCUGAUUAGUGCUGUUCCUUUCAAAUAUGAAUUAGAACUAUUUGUGAUACUAGCAUGUUGGAGUCAUACCUUUUUUAGCCUUUAUUUCUUAGUCAAUUUGAGCCUGUAAUCUUUUUGACUGAAUUUUUUUUUCUAUUUCUUUUUUGGGUUCUAAACUUAAAGUGAUAUGAAUUUUAUAAAUAAAUGAGAUUAUUAGCCAUGAUCUUGUGUCGUUUAUAAUUAAUAAUGUAGUAUCCUUUUAUAUAUAGAAUUAGGCUGGAAUACUAUUAAUAGUAAAACGCUCUUUUUGCUAUCAAGUUUUUAACCCUUGGAUGAAAAAUUGUAGGGUCAGGAUGAUAUUAGUCGGUUAGAGUUGAGUGAUCCCCCUAGGGUUGAGUGGUCCCCACUGGGUUAUAGUAUUUAAUCCAAUGGUUAGAAAUAAUGAAAAGAGUU
rnacentral:lncRNA from 1 species